rnacentral:sRNA from 1 species
UAGGUGUCAAAGCGAAAUCUUAUUUUCUCAGAGAAAAUGAGAAUUUUGCUGGCGUGCAAUUGACACCCUGAUUUAUCAAUAAAAGUACUUUUAUUCGCGAAAUGAGUAUAGUAUUAGAUAUUAAUGAUAAAUUAUAAUUGGUUGGCCCAAUUACUUGCAUGCUAAUCACUUAAGUGAUUAAUGGUUACAUGUCUGUAUAUAUUUGUCGUUAUUAAAUCUACUAAUAACAGUUUACUAGUAGGAAAAUAACUCGUGUUUAUCUACUCAACAAAUACAAUUCAGCAUGUAAUCAUUAUUUUGUUUUGUUACAGAAACAAAAUAAUCAUACUAACGGUGUGUAUAUAUUAUACAUAUGUUUUGUAUGAUUUCAAUAUACGUGUAUAUUAUCUGACUUAUAAUUAUCACAGUGAUAGUUGUAUAUGUGGGUCAAAGUAAUAAAAAUAUUUUUGACGACUUUGACUCAUCCCAAAACAUAUUUUUUUCUCACAGAGAAAGAGAAAAAAAUAUGCUUAAAAUCCAAUAAAAUCCAAUAAAAUCCAAUAAAAUCCAAUAAAAUCCAAUAAAAAUUGAAAAUUACACGUCCUUAUAUAUCUAUUUUUAUACAAUAAAAAUACAUCGAUAGUUAAAAUUAGAUAAAUAAUUAUUGAUAAAUUAAAGAA